rnacentral:rRNA from 1 species
AGGACGAACGCUGGCGGCGUGCUUAACACAUGCAAGUCGAGCGGUAAGGCUCCUUCGGGAGUACACGAGCGGCGAACGGGUGAGUAACACGUGAGCAAUCUGCCCUUCACAUCGGGAUAACUUCGGGAAACCGAAGCUAAUACCGGAUACGACCACCGAUGGCAUCGUCUGGUGGUAGAAAGUUCCGGCGGUGAAGGAUGAGCUCGCGGCCUAUCAGCUUGUUGGUGGGGUAAUGGCCUACCAAGGCGACGACGGGUAGCCGGCCUGAGAGGGUGACCGGCCACACUGGGACUGAGACACGGCCCAGACUCCUACGGGAGGCAGCAGUGGGGAAUAUUGGACAAUGGGCGAAAGCCUGAUCCAGCAACGCCGCGUGAGGGAUGACGGCCUUCGGGUUGUAAACGUCCUUUUUCGGGGAGUGAUAAUGACAGUACCCCGGGAAGUAAGGCUCGGCUAACUCUGCGCCAGCAGCCGC